rnacentral:tRNA from 1 species
GGGGGUAUAGCUCAGCUGGUUAGAGCGCAUCGCUGAUAACGAUGAGGUCCCAGGUUCGAAUCCUGGUACCCCCA